UUAACCUGGCCUUGACAUACUAAGAACUUUCCAGAGAUGGAUUGGUGCCUUCGGGAACUUAGAUACAGGCGCUGCAUGGCUGUCGUCAGCUCGUGUCGUGAGAUGUUGGGUUAAGUCCCGCAACGAGCGCAACCCUUUUCCUUAUUGCCAGCGGGUUAAGCCGGGAACUUUAAGGAUACUGCCAGUGACAAACUGGAGGAAGGCGGGGACGACGUCAAGUCAUCAUGGCCCUUACGGCCAGGGCUACACACGUGCUACAAUGGUCGGUACAAAGGGUUGCUACCUCGCGAGAGGAUGCUAAUCUCAAAAAGCCGAUCGUAGUCCGGAUCGCAGUCUGCAACUCGACUGCGUGAAGUCGGAAUCGCUAGUAAUCGCGGAUCAGAAUGCCGCGGUGAAUACGUUCCCGGGCCUUGUACACACCGCCCGUCACACCAUGGGAGUUUGUUGCACCAGAAGUAGGUAGUCUAACCGCAAGGAGGACGCUUACCACGGUGUGGCCGAUGACUGGGGUGAAGUCGUAACAAGGUAGGCGUAGAUGA
rnacentral:rRNA from 1 species